GGCGUUAUAGUGUAGUGGUCAUCACUCGGGAUUUUGAUAACACAUCUCUUGGUCAUAUCGUCUUCCCGUAACCCAGGUUCGAACCCUGGUAAUGCCA